rnacentral:rRNA from 1 species
CCUACGGGUGGCAGCAGUGAGGAAUAUUGGUCAAUGGGCGCGAGCCUGAACCAGCCAAGUAGCGUGAAGGAUGACUGCCCUACGGGUCGUAAACUUCUUUUACAAAGGAAUACAGUGGGGCACGUGUGCCGUUUUGUAUGUACCUUUUGCAUAAGGAACGGAUAACUCCGUGCCAGCAGCCGCGGUAAAACGGAGGGAUCGAGCGUUAUCCGGAUUUAUUGGGUUUAAAGGGAGCGUAGAUGGGUUGUUAAGUCAGGUGUGAAAGUUUGCGGCUCAACCGUAAGAGUGCAAUUGAAACUGGCAGCCUUGAGUACAGUUGAGGUAGGCGGAAUUCGUGGUGUAGCGGUGAAAUGCUUAGAUAUCACGAAGAACUCCGAUUGCGAAGGCAGCCUACUAAACUGCCACUGACAUUGAUGCUCGAAAGUGUGGGUAUCGAACAGGAUUAGAUACCCCGGUAGUC